UGGGGUGGGCGUGGGGGGCUCAGUGCCCCGGGCAGCCCUGCCCCGCACCUGGCACAGAUGCUCACCUGUCCCUGUGUCCCCACGGGCCCGGGCGCCUCCCCGAGACCCCCCCAGGGCCCCCCCACAGACGUGGACGAGUGCUCUCUGUUCGGGCCCGCGCUCUGCCGGGGGGGGCUCUGCGUCAACGCCGCCCCC